GUCAGGCUGGUCUUGACCUCCUGAACUCAAGCAAUCCACCUCCCUUGGCCUCCCAAAGUCCCGGGAUUACAGGCAUAGUGACUGCAUCUAUCCAACUGUGGAUUUGUUUUUAAAAAAACUAUCUUAAGCACUAAAACUGAGAAAAACCUAAAAUAGAAUUGAGGUGUUAUAAAAAGUGAUUGAAGGUAACUAGAGCCCAGGAAAAACAAGACAUGCAGUAGAAAAGUGGUUAUAAACUGGAGCCUGAAUAAGCACACAGAAGAGCUUUUAACCGCCAUGUUCUAGACAAGCAUUUUAGAGUCAUGGGAUCUUCUAGAGGUGAGUAAACUAAAGAAUAGGUAUAAAGCAUCACAAGGUAGCAAGAAGAACUUACCUGCCCAUUUUGCUCUGAUGAGUGCUCAGACAGCUCAGAUCACAGUUUCCUGUCAAACAAUGGUAAUUCUUUAAAACAAACAUUUAAGGCUCCUAUUUUUUAUCUGAUGUUAGCAAUUGUUAUGAACUAGAAAAGGUGUGGAGUUGUACUGAAAGUUUCUUGCAUUGGGUUUCCUUCUACAUAAGGGAAACUUAGCAAAACUGUAAGCAGGGCUGAUUAAAAAGGAUUCAUUCAAUAUUGAUUAGUGUGCUAGCAGAUAUUCUAUGUGCUGGGUGUUAAUUUAAAAAGCAAGACAGUCCUUAAGGAUUUCACAGUCUAGCAGAAGUGGCAAAUAACGAGAGCUUCACAAUACAGUGUGCUAUGUAAUAAAAUAUGUAGGAACAGAAUGUUGUGGGAGAAUAGAAAAAGCUAUAGUGAGGAAAUGUUUCAGAGUGAUGACCUUUAGAAGGAGUUUUCUUGGCAAAGAAGGGAACUGAUGUACAGAAAAGGCAGGGUAUCAAAAUAUGCAAAGAAAAGGAAUUGGAAGGCCAAGCACAGUGGCUCAUGCCUAUAAUUCCUGUGCUUUGGGAGGCUGAGGCUAGAGGCUUGCUUGAGGCCAGGAAUACAAGGUUACUGUGAGCUACGAUCGCAUCACUGCACUCCAGCCUGGGCAACAGAUUGAGACCCUGUUUCUUUAAAAAGAAAAGAAAAAUUGGAGAUGUACAUAGCAUAUGUAGACUGGAAAACAUACAUUCAUUGGGACUGUAAUGGAGAUGCUAAGUCAGGGCGGGAUUUGUAGGAGGUAAGGCCUGAAAAGAUAGAAUGAAGCCAGAUGGUGAAGGAAAUCUAUUUUGUUGGCAUUGGACAGAUGUAACAAAGAUCUCUAAGCAAUGAAUUAAUCUGGUUGGAUUUGGUUUUUAGUAUAAAGCUUAUGGCAACUUGGAGGAUGAAAAUAGAAUGUAGGAUAUAUGAUGACAUGCAUUCCUUGAAGGUUUUCAAAUUAGUCCGGGUGGAAGAUGAUAAGAGCCAAAACCUGUUACAUUUGAAAUGAAGAACAAGGCUAUCUUGAGGAAAUAUUGAAGUAAAACUAGAACAGUUUGGUGAAAAAUUGAAUGUGGAUAUGAAGGAAAAAUUAAGGCUAACUCACUAAAGUUUCCAUUUGAAGAAGUGAUGAUUAGAUGAAUUCAUGUGGGAAAGUAUGAGAUGAGACAAACAUGCUGAGGAACUACAUGAGUAUAUGUUGAGUUUAUAGUACUAAAAGACAUCUAGGUGACAGUGGUUGGUACAUUGUUAGAGCUUAGGAUAUAUAAAGUUGUGAAAAGUAAACCUAGGAAAACCAUAAGGAGGGGGAAUUCUGGGAACUAGUAGAUGAGAUGACCCUGGAGAUGAAAAGCUAAGUGCUAGCAGUAAUAGUAGUAGUAAUGAUAGUGCUAACUGUUAUUAAAUGGCUAUUACAUUAGGCAUUGAGCAAAGAGCUUCACAUGCAUUUCUUCAUUUCAUCCUCAUAGGAAUUCUGUUACCCCAUUUCUAGAUGAGAAAAUUGAGGCUUAGUGAUUUACCCAAGAUCAUACAGGUAGGAAGUGGUAGUACUGUAGAACAGAUUUGUCCUAAACAAUAUGAAAGAUAUCUUGAGCCCACAGACUGUACCACUGUACCAUACUGCAUUUUAUUUAAAAUGUCUCCUAGAAAAUACUUCAUGAUGUUCAUUUGAUACAUAUAAUGGGAAUGCAUAAAUUUAUAUAGCAUAUCUCAAUUCCAAAGAAACAAAAGUAUAGGGGCAUCUCUAACAGAUUUCAAUAAUUAUAAAAAAAGCAACCUAAGUUUAUCUCUAGUUGUAUCAGUCCAUUCUCAUGGACUAAUGACUAAUGAGGAGGCCUCAGGAAACUUACAGUCAUGCAAUCAUGACGGAAGGGAAAGCAUUCUUAGGGAAGUCCAUUCUCAUGGACUAACACAACUAGAGAUAUAUUUAGGGUGCUUUUUUAUAAUUAAGCUGCUAUGAAGAAAUGCCCAAGACUUGGUAAUUUGUAAAGGGAAAAGAUUUAAUUGACUUAUAGUUUCACAGGGCUGGGGAGGCCUCAGGAAACUUACAAUCAGGCAAUCGUGACAGAAGGGAAAGCAGACAUCCUUCUUCACAUGGUAGCAGGAGAGAGAAGUACUGAGCAAAAAUUGAAAAGUGCCUUAUAAAACCAGCAGAUCUCAUGAGAACUCACUCACUAUCACAAGAACAGCAGCACUGGUGGUAACUGCCUCCAUGAUUGAGUUACCUCCCAUGGAGUCCUUCCCAUGACUUGUGGGGAUUGCGGGAACUACAAUUCGAGAUUUGGGUGGGAACACAGCCAAAUCAUGUCAUUCUAUUCCUGGCCCCUUCCAAAACUCACGCCCUCACUUUUCAAAACACAAUCAUGUCUUCCCAACAGUCCCUCAAAGUCUUAACUCAUUCCAACAUUAAUCCAAAAGUUCGAGUUCAAAGUCUCACCUGAUACAAGGCAAAUUCCUUCUACCUGUGAGCAUGUAAAGUUAAGAGCAAGUUAGUUACUUCCUAGAUACAGUGGAUGUACAGGCAUUGGGUAAAUAUGCAUGUUCCAAAUGGGAGAAAUUGACCAAAACAAGGGACUACAGGCCCUAGGCAAAUCUGAAAUCCAGUAGGGUCAUUAUUAAACAUUAAAGUUCCAAAAUGAUUUCCUUUGAUUUCAUGUCUCACAUCCAGGUCAUGCUUAUACAAGAGGUGGGCUCCCACAGGCUUCGAUAGCUCUGCUCCUGUAGCUUUGCAGGGUACAGCCCCACUCCUGGCUCUUUUCAUGGGCUGAUAUUGAGUGUCUGUGGCUAUUCUAGGCACACAGUGCAAGCUGUUGGUGGAUCUAUCUCUGGAGGAUGGUGGCCCUCUUCUCACAGCUCCAUGAGCAGUAUCCCAGUGGAGACUCUGUAUGGGGGCUCUGAACUCACCUAUCCCUUCCUCAAUGCCCCAGCAGAAGUUCUCCAUGAGGGCUCUGCCUCUGCAGCAGACUUCUGCUUGGACAUUCAGGCCUUUUCAUGCAACCUCUGAAAUCUAGGCGGAGGGUCCCAAACCUCAGUUCUUGACUUCUACAUACCCAUAGGCCCAAUACCACAUGGAAAUCACAAAGGCUUGGGGCUUACAACCUCUGAAGCAGUGACCUGAGCUGUAUGUUGGCCCUAUUUAGCCACGGGUGGAGUAGCUGAGACACAGGGCACCAAGUCCCAAGGCUGCUCACAGCAGGGGGGGCUGUGGACCUGACCCAUUAAACCAUUUUUCCCUCUCAGGCCUCCAGGCCUAUGAUGGGAAGGGCUGCCAUGAAAAUCUCAGACAUGACCUGGGGACAUUUUUCCCAUUGUCUUGGCAAUUAACAUUUGGCUCCUUAUUACUUAGGCAGAUUUCCGCAGCCACUGAAUUUCUCCCCAGAAAUUUUUUUUUCUGUCACAUCAGGCUGCAAAGUUUUCAACCUUUUAUGCUCUGCUUCCUUUUGAACACUUUGCUGCUUAGAAAUUUCUUCUGUCAGAUACCCUAAAUUACCUCCCUCAAGUUCAGAGUUCCACAGAUAUCUAGGGCCGGGGCAAAAUGCCACUAGGCUCUUUGCCAAAGCAUAACCAGAGUGACCUUUGCUUUAGUUUUCAACAAGUUUCUAAUCUCCAUCUGAGAACACCUCAGCCUGGACUUCAUUGUUUAUAUCACUAUCAGCAUUUUGGUCAAAACCAUUCAAUAAGUCUCUAGGAAGUUUCAAACUUUCCUACGUCUUCCUUCUUCCUCUGCACCCUCUAAACUGUUCCAAUCUCUGCCUGUUACCCAGUUCCAAAAUUGUUCUUCAUUUUUAGGUAUCUUUACAACAGUGCCCCACUACCCAGCACCAAAUUACUGUGUUAGUCCAUUGUCAUGUUGCUAUGAGGAAGUACCUGAGAGUGGGUUGUUUAUAAAGGAAAGAGGUUUAAUUGACUCACAGUUCCACAUGGCUGGGGAGUUCUUAGGAAAUUUACAAUCAUGGUGGAAGAGGAAGUACAAUCAUAGCGGAAGGAGAAGCAGACACGUUCUUCUUCACAGGGUGGCUGGAGAGAGAAAUGCUGAACAAAGAGGCCAAAGCCCCUUAAACUGUAAGAUGUCCUGAGAACUCGCUCACUAUCACAAUAACAUUAGCAUGGGGGUAACCACCCUUAUGAUUCAGUUACCUCCCACUGUGGGGAACUGUUACCCAGUUCCAAAAUUGCUUCCACAUUUUUGGGUAUCUUUCAACAGUGCCCCACUACUGAGUACCAAAUUACUAUGUUAGUCUGUUCUCAUGCUGCUAUGAAGAAGUACCCUAGUAUCCUUCCCACCACACAUGGGGAUUAUGGGAACUACAAUUCAAGAUGAGAUUUGAGAGAGAACACAGCCAAACCAUAUCACUAGUGGUAACAUUUCUCAAAUUGGCUAGUCAAAACACUGAAAGUAGAAAGCAAGUCUCCUAACAUAUAGUACAAUUAGAUGGGUUUCUUCUUUUUUUUUUUUAUUUUUUUUCAUUUUUUGAUGAACUAAGCAGGGUCAACAUACUCUAAUUGGGAGUAUUUUAAUAAUUU